AUUCUCACUGACAUGCUUUUUUAUGCCCCCUUGGGAGUACCGACCACUUUGUUCUGCCGUAAAAUCCCAGAGGCCAAAAGAGCUUAGAAGACCCAGCAAGUGGCAGGACGUUGAGGGGGAGUCCCCCUUCCCAUCCCUUAUUCCCUAUUGCUGAAAAGCCGAAGUCCUUGGUUUCAUCCCUCUCCUCUGAACCCCUGUGAAGCUUCACACAUCCCUCCGGGGCAGUGGUGACACAGCAGAAAUCGUCAGGGGUGCCUCUGCAGUCACUGCAGAGAAGCCCCAUCCCCAGAGAGCAACAUAGCCCAUCUUGGAAAAGGAGAUUUCCAGCCCCAUGUUACCCAAUACAGGGAUGCUAGUCACGGCCACCUUUCUGUCUCCAAGGUCAACCUUGCAGGUCUAAGGACAAGCUCGAACUGCUUUGGAAUGAGUUCUUUCCCACUAAGCCUUUGCAAGGCCCACCCACGGACUUUCAAAAACCUGAAAAUCCCUGAAAUUCAGAGGAGAAGCAGUGACCUAUCCCCCCAGCCCCAGAGGGACUGCUACUUGCAGGGCUCUGUCAAGGGCAACUGUGAGAACAGUGUGUUGAGAAAGGAAGCCACCCCCUGCUUUGCCCCCGCAGUGUUUAUGUUGGAAAAGCCCCAGGUUGGUGGGAGAACGACAGGAAGAGGUGCACCUGCAGAUAUGAUGCCCUCUGUCCCUGUCCCAGUAGAAGAAACCUCGUGGAGAAGUUUCCAGCAGGACAGAUCACUGGGAAGGGCAUGUGUUUAUGGGAUGCUCACUACAAACUCUUCCCACGCCUGACAAUUCCUGAGGGUCGUGCCUUCACAGCCCGUGCAACAAGUCAGCCUCUCCCAGGCUUCCUAGGAGCCUCCAUAUUUGCACCCAAACCUGGUAGUGCAGCUACAGAAUGUGACCUCAGCCCUGUGACCACCAGAAUGAGACUCCACCUGCCCAGCCACGCAGCCCAUCUGACCACAUCACCACCAAGAGCUCCCUGCUGACGGACAAGACAGACCCACGUUCACACUCCCAACUUCCGUCCUGGCUAGCUGGGUGACCUUGGGCAAGUCACUUGUUCUCUCCAGGGCUGUACCUUCUUCCAUUGUAAAAUUGGAAUGACGCAUGGUUGCGAGGAUCAAAUGGGAGAUGUGGGAAAAUGCUAAGCACACUGCUUGGUGCGUCGCAAAAGCUAUUAAAUAGCUUACUUAGUUAUAA